AUUGAACGCUAGCGGGAUGCCUUACACAUGCAAGUCGAACGGAGUGGCGAACGGGUGAGUAAUGUAUCGGAACGUGCCCAGUAGCGGGGGAUAACUACGAGAAAGCGUAGCUAAUACCGCAUACUAUUGGAGCGGCCGAUAGCGGAUUAGCUAGUUGGUGGGGUAACGGCCCACCAAGGCGACGAUCCGUAUGUGGUUUGAGAGGACGACCAGCCACACUGGGACUGAGACACGGCCCAGACUCCUUCGGGAGGCAUCGGUGGGGAAGUUUGUACCAUGGGGGAAACCCUGCUCCAGCCAUCCCGCUUGUGCGAUGAAGGCCUUCUGGUUGUAAACCACUUUUGGCAGGAAAGCGGUACCUGCAGAAUAAGCACCGGCUAACUACGUGCCAGCCGCCGCGGUAAUAC
rnacentral:rRNA from 1 species